rnacentral:tRNA from 1 species
GGGCCGGUGGUCUAGCCCGGUUAUGACGUCGCCUUCACAAAUAGAGUUCUCAGGACCUCUAUGGGAUUCGGCGAAUAUCACGAGUUCAACUCUCGUCCGGCCCA